rnacentral:rRNA from 1 species
UACGGAGGGGGCAAGCGUUGUUCGGAAUUACUGGGCGUAAAGGGCGCGCAGGCGGCUGCUCAAGUCAGGCGUGAAAGGCCUGGGCUCAACCCGGGAAUUGCGCUUGAGACUGGGCUGGCUUGAGUGCGGGAGAGGAUGGUGGAAUUCCCAGUGUAGAGGUGAAAUUCGUAGAUAUCUGGAGGAACACCGGUGGCGAAGGCGGCAUCCUGGACCAACACUGACGCUGAGGAGCGAAAGCCAGGGGAGCAAAGCGGG